rnacentral:rRNA from 1 species
CAGCCGCCGCGGUAAUACCGGCGGCCCGAGUGGCGGUCACUAUUAUUGGGCUUAAAGCGUCCGUAGCCGGGUUGGGAAGUCCUCCGGGAAAUCUGGCCGCUUAACGGUCAGAAUGCCGGAGGAUACUCCCAGCCUAGGGAGCGGGAGAGGCCGAGGGUAUUCCCGGAGUAGGGGUGAAAUCCUAUAAUCCCGGGAGGUCCACCUGUGGCGAAGGCGCUCGGCUGGAACGCGUCCGACGGUGAGGGACGAAGGCCAGGGGAGCAAACCGGAUUAGAUACCCGGGUAGUCCUGGCUGUAAACGAUGCGGACUUUGUGUCGGACAAGCUAUGAGCUUGUCCGGUGCCGGAGGGAAACCGUUAAGUCCGCCGCCUGGGGAGUACGGCCGCAAGGCUGAAACUUGAAGGAAUUGGCGGG